rnacentral:rRNA from 1 species
CCUACGGGUGGCUGCAGUGAGGAAUAUUGGUCAAUGGCCGGAAGGCUGAACCAGCCAUGCCGCGUGAAGGUCAGUGCCCUAUGGGCGUUAAACUUCUUUUGUGCGGGAGCAAUAAUGGUCACGUGUGGCCAGACGAGAGUACCGUACGCAUAAGCAUCGGCUAACUCCGUGCCAGCAGCCGCGGUAAUACGGGGGAUGCAAGCGUUAUCCGGAUUUAUUGGGUUUAAAGGGUGCGUAGGCUGUGAGGUAAGUCAGCGGUGAAAUGCCCCGGCUCAACGGGGUGAAGUGCCAUUGAUACUGGCUGGCUGGAAUGCGGAUGCGGUGGGAGGAAUGUGUGGUGUAGCGGUGAAAUGCAUAGAUAUCACACAGAACACCGAUUGCGAAGGCAUCUCACGAAUCCGCGAUUGACGCUGAUGCACGAAAGCGUGGGUAUCAAACAGGAUUAGAUACCCGGGUAGUC